GGGGCCGACCCGGUUUCGACGUGGGUGCGGAUCCGAUGCAGGGCAUGCCGAGCACCAGUACGCUCGCUAAUCCACUGGAAACGAAGUAACUGCGAACGACGAACGUUUCGCCCUCGCCGCUUAACACCGGCGAGCCUCGCAACAGCUGGCCGAUGGGCUGGGUCUGACACCGCAAGGUGAAGGGCUGCGAGGUCAUCCACAUCGGCUGUGCCGCGCGCCGGGCCACUCGGUGCGGGGCAAGAUCAAGUGGCUGGCAUCCCGGGCAGCGUGCUGCUGCGCGGCCCGGGGCGUGAGAUCCAAACCAGCCAGCUAAGCAUGUAGAACUGCCCGGAGAAGGCUUGCGGACGGGGGUUCGAUUCCCCCCGGCUCCACCA
rnacentral:tmRNA from 1 species